GAUGAACGCUGGCGGCGUGCCUAAUACAUGCAAGUCGAGCGAACGGACGAGAAGCUUGCUUUUUUGAUGUUAGCGGCGGACGGGUGAGUAACACGUGGAUAACCUACCUAUAAGACUGGGAUAACUUCGGGAAACCGGAGCUAAUACCGGAUAAUAUUUUGAACCGCAUGGUUCAAAAGUGAAAGACGGUCUUGCUGUCACUUAUAGAUGGAUCCGCGCUGCAUUAGCUAGUUGGUAAGGUAACGGCUUACCAAGGCGACGAUGCAUAGCCGACCUGAGAGGGUGAUCGGCCACACUGGAACUUAGACACGGUCCAGACUCCUACGGGAGGCAGCAGUAGGGAAUCUUCCGCAAUGGGCGAAAGCCUGACGGAGCAACGCCGCGUGAGUGAUGAAGGUCUUCGGAUCGUAAAACUCUGUUAUUAGGGAAGAACAUAUGUGUAAGUAACUGUGCACAUCUUGACGGUACCUAAUCAGAAAGCCACGGCUAACUACGUG
rnacentral:rRNA from 1 species